UAAAAUCAACAGGUAUGCUUAUUUUUCAAUUAGAUGUUCAAUUAUUAAGUAUUUAAUUCUUCCAGAUAUAUUUAACAUUUCACUGCCAUGUUUUCAAAAAUCUAAAUGCGAUUUAAAAAAAUUAAUUGUGUCUAUGAAUUAUUUUGGGGGGGGUGGAACUUUUCCUUGUUUUUGCCUUUAUCCUGGAAUGUGGCUUCUCUCUUCUUUAUUCAGGGCUUUUUUUAUAUCCCUCAGUUAAGUUUUGAUAUUUUCUUUACAACUGCUAAUAACCUGCCUCUUUCUUUACAAUCUUUAUAGAUUGUCAUUUGUCUUUAAAAAAAAAUUUUGCAUUGCUGUAACUUUCAGAUCAAUUGUUUUAAAAAUAGUGGCUAUAGCAGGUAGCACAUCUUUUUCAAACAUUAACGUGGGUGUUUCCAUUUUCAGCGUUAAUGAUGGUUGGCUAAAUGUGAGUAAUAGUGGUCUUUAAUAUGGUGAGGAAUAUUGAUGUCUACUCCCGGUUUAUUAAAAGACUUUGUGAAAAUCAAUACUAGUUGUCAAUAUUAUCAAAGACAUUUUGGACCUUAAAGGGUUAAUAUCCCUGUGACUUCCCUUUUGCCUAAUGCGGUGAGUUGUUUGGGGAUUUCUAUAGUAAAUCGUUCUUGCAUUCUUAGAAUAAAUCCUUCUUGAUCUCUAGUGAUUCUGUUUUAAGUUCUACUAAUAAUUUGCCUUAAGUUGUUAAAAUACUUAUGUCAAUAUUUAUGAAUCUAUCAACGUAAAAAGUGAAGCAUAAUUUACUCGCUGGCUUCUAUGUAAAAUGAGGAUGUAAAUAAUCUUUUGUUCUCAUAUUAUAUUCAGACUCACUACCCAGUUUUUGUUCGUGUCAUCUGUGAUUUUAGAGUUGGCUAUUAUUUUUAAUGAGUUUUAUCAUAUUGUUACAAGGUUUUUCUCUCAUUAAGCUGAAGUAUAUCCUCCACAAAUAUGUUCUGGGACAGUUGUCUGCUUUCUCAAUGCAUCACUCAGGUACCUUACAUAUGAGUGACAACUUGGGGACCAUAGGAUUCUUGGAUAACACCUUUUUCCUUCAAAACUUGAUGGAUGAGCUUUCAUUGCAUGAUGGCCUUUGAUGCUACUGGGGAAAAUACAAAGAAGGAAGGAGAAUGGCUGGUAGCCAGCCGCGUGGACCCCUUAGCUUUUCAUCUGUCAGGACACAGGCAGUGAGACAGAGCCCUGGUCACGUGUCUACCUCCACUUUGGAUCUACAUGGAUUAUGUGAAUGUCAACAUGAUUUAGAAUUUUAUCCAAGUUUUCACAAUGGCCAUCCUCCACAGAGCAGAUGGGUUCCAACCAGCACCGCUCCCGCCAUGAGAGAGAUUUCCAAGCCUGGAUUUCAUAAUCGACAUGUGUGCUCACAGGAACUGGAGGGGAAGUCACCCAGCCUCUCUGGUGGUUUGCUGAAGUCCUGGCUAUUUUCCACAGGAGCUAAUCAAACAUCGGAAAUUAAAGGGAAGGAUGAAAGAAGGAACAAAUGGAAGAAGAAGGGAGAGGAGGGAGGGAGAGGGGGAGAGAGAACAGGGAACAUCUGAAAGGGAGAGAAGGUGGAGGGGGGUAAAGAGAGAAAGAGAAGACAGCCAAGAGUGAAAUUCCAGAGGCCACUCCGCAGCUUUCUUUCACGUGUGUAAUAAAGCCGUGAUAUCUAUCUUAGACCACACGCAACCCAUUCUCUUUACCGUGAGACUAGGAUUAUACACCACUGUGGAUAUUUCAGUUUUAAAAGUGCGUUGAGACCUGAUAUGAUACCACAUUAAACACAUCUCCUAUUGAUUCUUUCUAACCUUGCAAAACGAGCUGCGCGGUUAAGUACCUUUUACUCCAGCCUGGCUGAUGGGACCACAGAUGUUAACUGCCGGGCUGAAUUUCCUCGGAGGUCAGCAGACGGGGCCAGAGGGAGGUGACCCGGGGAACAUCUUCUGGUCAGGGGACUAUUUAUCCUUGCAGCCCUCAAAUCCAGUUUGAGGAUGCAUGUCUGGACAAGUCUGAAUCAUGGAGAAAUUAAAUCAAGCCUCACGACCUCCCUACCCACUGUUUAACCAGUCACACGGAUGUGUGUGGCUUCUGAAAAUCUGGAGUCUGUUAUACAAGGAGAACAUAAUUCAUGGUUUGGAAAGCUAAAGUUUCUUGUUCUCAA